GAAGGAAAUUACGGCAGGAACUGAAAUCACUUGACUAUGGUGGGAAAGAAUGGCCCUGGCAUAAAGAGAUUCCCCCUACUGUUACAAGCACUGCUGCUCAAGAGUCUAUUAAAGACCAUUUCCAAGACUAAACCAUGUCAUCCACAGUCUCUAUUGAAGAAGGCGUACCGGAAAUGGACGAAGACGACGUCAGCGGUCACGUGGAUGGAGACGACGACGUUACGUCAGAAGGAGGAGACACUGGAACCGAUACUCAUACAUGCGACAUCGAGGCAUAAAACAUGAGCACCUCACCUGGAACACAUCUAACGGUUUAUCAACUGGACUCACUUUCAUCCUAAGCGACGUUCAAUACCCUAAAGGAUACUGGGACUACUAUAAAAUCAGAAAAGUUGUUGUUCAAAUAUGGCC
ensembl:lncRNA